UACGUAGGUGGCAAGCGUUGUCCGGAUUUACUGGGCGUAAAGAGCGCGCAGGCGGUCGUUCAAGUCGCGUGUGAAAAGCCCCCGGCUCAACUGGGGAGGGUCACGCGAUACUGAUCGACUCGAAAGGCAGGAGAGGGUAGUGGGAAAUUCCCCGGGUGUAGUGGUGAAAUGCGUAGAUAAUCGGGAGGAACACCAGUGGCGAAG
rnacentral:rRNA from 1 species